rnacentral:rRNA from 1 species
UGCGAGUCGAGAGGUGUAAGACCUCGGCAUACUGCUCAGUAACACGUGGACAAUCUAACCUAUGGAAGGGGAUAACCCCGGGAAACUGGGGAUAAUACCCUAUAGACUAUGGAUGCUGGAAUGCUCUGUAGUUGAGAGGUCCGCCGCCAUAGGAUGGGUCUGCGGCCGAUUAGGUUGUUGUUGGGGUAACGGCCCAACAAGCCUGUAAUCGGUACGGGUUGUGGGAGCAAGAGCCCGGAGAUGGAUUCUGAGACACGAAUCCAGGCCCUACGGGGCGCAGCAGGCGCGAAAACUUUGCAAUGCGGGAAACCGUGACAGGGGAACUCCGAGUGCCCGUUAAAUCGGGCUGUCCAUCAGUUUAAAUAACUGGUGAAGAAAGGGCCGGGCAAGACCGGUGCCAGCCGCCGCGGUAGUACCGGCGGCUCGAGUGGUGGCCACUAUUACUGGGCUUAAAGCGUUCGUAGCUGGUUUGUUAAGUCUCUGGGGAAAUCUUCCGGCUUAACCGGAAGGCGUCUCAGGGAUACUGGCAGACUAGGGACCGGGAGAGGUGAGGGGUACUCCAGGGGUAGGAGUGAAAUCCUGUAAUCCUUGGGGGACCACCUGUGGCGAAGGCGCCUCACCAGAACGGCUCCGACAGUGAGGGACGAAAGCUGGGGGAGCAAACCGGAUUAGAUACCCGGGUAGUCCCAGCUGUAAACGAUGC